UGGGGAAUAUUGGACAAUGGGCGCAAGCCUGAUCCAGCCAUGCCGCGUGGGUGAAGAAGGCCUUCGGGUUGUAAAGCCCUUUUGUUGGGGAAGAAAUCGUACGGGUGAAUAUCCUGUGCGGAUGACGGUACCCAAAGAAUAAGCACCGGCUAACUUCGUGCCAGCAGCCGCGGUAAUACGAAGGGUGCAAGCGUUACUCGGAAUUACUGGGCGUAAAGCGUGCGUAGGCGGUUUGUUAAGUCUGUCGUGAAAGCCCUGGGCUCAACCUGGGAAUUGCGAUGGAUACUGGCAAGCUAGAGUACGGUAGAGGAUGGUGGAAUUCCCGGUGUAGCGGUGAAAUGCGUAGAGAUCGGGAGGAACACCCGUGGCGAAGGCGGCCAUCUGGACCAGUACUGACGCUGAGGCACGAAAGCGUGGGGAGCAAACAGG
rnacentral:rRNA from 1 species